AUUGAACGCUGGCGGCAUGCCUUACACAUGCAAGUCGAACGGCAGCGCGGGUACUUGCACCUGGCGGCGAGUGGCGAACGGGUGAGUAAUAUAUCGGAACGUGCCCUAGAGUGGGGGAUAACUAGUCGAAAGAUUAGCUAAUACCGCAUACGAUCUACGGAUGAAAGUGGGGGAUCGCAAGACCUCAUGCUCCUGGAGCGGCCGAUAUCUGAUUAGCUAGUUGGUGGGGUAAAAGCCUACCAAGGCGACGAUCAGUAGCUGGUCAGAGAGGACGACCAGCCACAGUGGGACUGAGACUCGGCCCAGACUCGUGCGGGAGGCAGCUGUGGGGGAUUUUGGACAAUGGGGGCAACCCUGGUCCAGCAAUGCCGCGUGUGUGAAGAAGGCCUUCGGGUUGUAAAGCACUUUUGUCAGGAACGAAACGGUGAGGGCUAAUAUCCUUUGCUAAUGACGGUACCUGAAGAAUAAGCACCGGCUAACUACGUGCCAGCCGCCGCGGUAA
rnacentral:rRNA from 1 species